GUUCAAGCACCAGCUCGAAGAAGCGUAACUAGUUUAUCUUAAGAAAUCAUGGAUCUGAAAAAGCUACGCUUCUCGAGAAGGUGCGUGAGC
rnacentral:pre_miRNA from 1 species